rnacentral:lncRNA from 1 species
UGGAAACUGUGAUGACAGCUACUGGUGGGAAAAAUCACUCGGGAACAGAGCCAUAGCCCUGCUUCUAGCGCCAUCUUCCUUGAGACUCCUGAGCCAUAAGAGCGAAGUGGCAGAAGAAGAUAAUGUGCAGGCUGAAGCGCAAGAGAAGAUAAGGCAGUGGUCCAAGUUAGCCAGCCGGUGCAGCCACGACGCCUGCAGGAGCAGAAGUGAGGGAUGCUGAGGGCCGGGACGCCGGGACAAGCUAUCGGACUGUGUGCUGCCAUUGGUAAUGAGUCUCAGUAGAACUGGAAUGUCACCUCGCCACGAUCGCCUGGAGAAAUGACCUCCUUUCUUAUAACCAAAACAGUCCCGCUGGCCCUCUGCCCUGGACCCCCGGCACUCUGGACUAGCUCUGUUCUCUUGUGGCUAAGUGUAGCUCGUGUACAAUAAACCCUCUUGCAGUCAGCUGAAAAAAAAAAAAGGAAAAGAAAAAGAAAAACAACAACAACAACAAUAGCGACAGCAGCAGCAGCAGCAGCAAUCAGAACAACAGCAACAGAGCAGAGAAUCAGUAAAGCCACAAUCUUGACGUUAACCAGAGAGCUCACUGAAGAAUUAAGAGCCCUGGACAGGAGGUCAAGUCCACAGAGAAGACACAGUUUUUUUAUUUUCCUAAGACAGGGUUUCUCUGUGUAGCCCUGGCUGCUCUGGAACUCUCUUUGUAGACCAGGCUGGCCUCGAACUCAGAAAUCUGUCUGCCUCUGCCUCCCAAGUGCUGGGAUUAAAGGCGUGCGCCACCACGCCGGGCCUUAUUUUGGUUUUUUCAAGACAGGGUUUCUCUGUGUAAUCUUGGCUGUCCUGGAGCUCACUCUGUAGACCAGGCCGGCCUCAAACUCAGAGAUCUGCCUGUCUCUGCCUCCCAAGUGCUGGGAUUAAAGGUGUGUGCUAGCAUGCCUAUCGACAAAUUUUAUUUGUAAAAAAAUAUACAAAAUGCAAUUGUUGGUGUACAACAAAUGGUUUGCUUGCACCUAUGUCUGUACACAGUAUAUGUGCUGUGCCUGGGAGACCAGAAGAUCUACUGCAACUGCAGUUCCAUGUGGAUGUAAGCUGGCAUGUGAUGCUGAGACUAGAACAUAGGUCCCCU